ensembl:lncRNA
GUGUACAUUUCCGCAAUCAGCCAUCUAUAUAGUCAAUGUUUUAUAUUUAAUAAGCAAAUAUGUCUAUAUGCUGAUUGGUCUCAAGCAGCGUUGUCCAAUCUUCAGCUUUUCAUUCCAAUCUAGCAGGAGCCACACCUGAUUCCAAUUGUUGGAUCCGCUGAUCUUGGCUUUCAAUAGACUAAAGUGUGGCUUCUGCUUGGUUAGAAUGACAACCUGCAACCACACUGGCCCAUUCUGGAGAAGACUGGACAACCCUGAUCUAAAGCAAAUAACCACCGAGGUAAGUGCCACUUUGUGAGUUCUGAAUCCGUCAUGCCGACUCGACGUCACUCGAUGAACAGGGAAGGAACUGGUAGAUGAGAAGACUUCCCACUGUCGACGAAUGGCGAUUUCAAGUUGAGGGUGCGUGAACUUGGCGACGAGUACUUUAUGGAAAAUUUUCCAGUCACGCACAGAGUCUUAUUGAGCAACGAAAGAGCCAGGCUUCCACUUUCUGUGGAAAACCAGAGACUCCCUUUCAUUUUGUAAGCAAAUGUUAACUGCUUUGCUAAAAAAGCACAAACGAUGGAAAUCUGCACUGUCCAAGGUGUAGCUUUCCAGCUGUUCCUGGAGGAGCUGAUCCUACGGUUAUGAGUGUUAGACAAACGUGAUAACCACCACACUACAGAAACCAUGACAGAGCUGCGCUUCGGCUCUUGCCUAUGGUCUGCUGAUGAGAAGAGCACAUACUUAAACUUUUGUUCAGCAGAGUUGAAUUGCUUAGCAUGGCAUUGGUGGUAUAGAGGUGAGCAUAGCUGCCUUCCAAGUAGUUGACCUGCGUUUGAUUCCUGGCCAAUGCACGGAUUGUAACUAGGAGCUUCUGGAGCUACUUUAUGAUAGUUGGCACAAAAGGAAGGAAUCACUUACCUGAAAGUAAAUGUGUCAACAGAAUGUGCCAUAGGCUUAUCUGCAGGCCUCCCACAACUCUUUCUGCUUCCCACUUGAAUUCUUAGUGCUUCUUUGCUGUUUGUAAACACAGUAUUAUCCAACAGGGCACGUUUGACCCGUGAACAGGGGCGAAAAUGUUAGAACAUGCGGUCUCUCCGUGUCUGUCUUUUGUUAGCGACAAGCUAGCAUGCAAACUGUGAUGAGAGGUGUACAUUUC